UACGUAGGUGGCAAGCGUUGUCCGGAAUUAUUGGGCGUAAAGGGCUCGUAGGCGGCCAACUAAGUCAGACGUGAAAUCCCUCAGCUUAACUGGGGAACUGCGUCUGAUACUGGAUGGCUUGAGAUUGGGAGAGGGAUGCGGAAUUCCAGGUGUAGCGGUGAAAUGCGUAGAUAUCUGGAGGAACACCGGUGGCGAAGGCGGCAUCCUGGACCAACACUGACGCUGAGGAGCGAAAGCCAGGGGAGCAAACGGG
rnacentral:rRNA from 1 species